AUGCAUUUGGUGGCGCCCUCAGGAAAAGUCUAGUCACUUCCUGAACAGUAAUCUGUCUGUGAGCAGCAGAUAGAUUCUCAUUGUUUGCCAUUUCCAGUUUCCAGUAAUGGGAACGAUUACUUGAUCUAGCCAGUUUCUGUUGAAGAUCUGGGAAAACUUAAAAAUUUUGAUGGCAAAAUUUUAUCUGUUUCCAUAAAACAACAACAGAAAAAAAACAUAACCUGUUUUUGGUACCUGGAGGCGUCACUUCUGAUGAUGAAUAUUGUUUUAUUUUGGAAUUAAGUGUCUGUUCUUCAGGAACGAGAUGUAUCUUGCUCUUCUGGUGAUUUUCUUGCAGUGUUCAGAACUUUACACUCAGGAGAAAGUUUUUACUUUCAACAAAGUUGAAAUCAAGGUUCAGCCGUCUUUCAAAGUAAAGAACGGAGAUCCUAUGUCAAUUGUCUGCCAUGCUGAUAUUAGCAAAAGUACCGAUUUCCAGCUGAAGCAUAAUUUUACAAUUUUUAAGGAUGGCAAAGUUGUGUUCACGACUGUAUCAGGCAAAGGAGAUGCACGAUAUGAAAUAUCUGUGGCUAGAUCUUCAGAUACAGGAGUCUAUGAAUGUACUGUGGAAGCAGGUGGAAAGACAAAAUCUAGUAACUCCUUACGUGUUUGGGUAAAAGGAAUGACCAAACCAAUCCUGACUGUUGAGAAAAAAGAAGUUUUAGAGGGUGAAGUUGUGAAAUUACGUUGUGAGCUGCCAGAAGAAGAACCUCCUUUAUAUUUCUAUUUCUGGAAGACAAAGAUGAAUUCAACACCUAAAGAAAAAGAUGUAUUUGAACCAUACAGAAAUUUUUCAGUAGUGGAAUUUGCUGUUGAGGAGGGAGAUAAUAUUUUACAAUUUGAUUGCUUUGUUAAGAGAUAUGUACAAUCAGAAUUUGAAAGCUCAGAACACAGCAAUAAAACACUUGUUACAGUCAGGGAACCAUUUAUAAAGCCUGCUCUGAGCGUCAAGCCCUCAAGUAAUAUUACAGAAGGAGACAGAAUACAGUUUGAAUGCUCAACUGUGGUAGCCCGAAUGCGUGACAUUGAAAUCAUACUCCAGAAAAACAAAACAAUACUGAGCAGUGUACGAGAUGAGAAAAUUUUGAAAUACUCUGCAGUAGCUACUCUAGAGGACAGUGGUGAAUACCUCUGUAAGGUGGAGCAAGGGAAAGCAUCUAAAACCACCAAACUGAAUGUUGAUGUGUCAGAGUUAUUCCCCAAGCCAAUAUUGUCUGCUUCUAUGAAUAAGCUGGAUGAAAAUAAAGAAUUAACUUUGAGUUGCAGCGUUAGUGGUUUUCGGAAAGCUAACUUCUCUAUAUUACGUAAAAACUCAAAUGGAGAUGUCUGGUUGAAAAAUUUUAGAAACUUAACAAUGAGAGUUGAUGUGAAUGAUACUGGAUCCUAUAUCUGUAAAGCUGAAGUAAAAGGAAUAGUCAAGGAGAGCAAACCUGUAAGGAUAAAUGUUUAUGCUCCAGUCUCCAAGCCAACUCUUUCUGUUGUCAGUGGUUUGCCAGAGGUGGUGUUAGGGAAGCCUCUACGGUUAAUCUGUCGUUCAGCGACGGGAACGCCGCCAAUAACAUUCACGUUCUACAAAGGAAACGAAGUUAAGAAAACAGUAAUUAAUGACACAUAUGCUACGUUCUUGGAUGAAAAUAUUAGACAAAAUGACAAAAGAGGAUACAAGUGUGAUGCUAAAAAUAAUCACUCCAGUGGUGUGAAAACUAGCAAUAUUCUAAACAUCACAGUAAUAGUACCAAUCAGGAAUGCCAGCUUGGGCAGUGUUCCAUAUGGAGUAGUGGAAGACGGCAGUGAGGCUGCUUUUCUCUGCUCUGUGAAUGAAGGAUCUUGGCCAAUCCUCUUCAGGAUUUUUAGAAAAACUGACCAUGAAGUUCUUCUAUUUGAAAAAAGUGAAAAUGCAGACAGAGUCAUGUGGCGCAAGGAAGCAAUGCACAGGCAGGACACAGGGACAUACUACUGCAUGGCUUCUAAUCGAGCAAAUGUGGAUGUGAAAAGCCAUCCAAUAACCAUUAGUGUCAUCUUAGCAUCUUGGCAGAAAGGAAUCAUUGCUGCGUUUGUCCUAAUACCUAUCGCAGGAGCAGUAAUUUUCACUUUAUGGUGGUUUUUGUGGAAGAAGAAAAAGGCUAAAGGACCAUCCAUGGAGAUGUCUGGUUCUGCCUUGGCUACAAACAUGACAAGUGAAAAACUGUCAAGACAGCACAAUGAUGGGGACUACUAUUCAGGCUCAGGUUACAUUGAAGAUAGUGAAAAUCACAUGAAGUCAACAGAUGAGAGUAAAGGACCUGACCUUGAGAGUGCUGAGGUGGAAUACACUGAAGUUGAAGUAUCAACGCUUGAUCCUCACAGAGCUCCUGUACAGAAGGGGACUGAAACAGUUUAUAGUGAAAUCAGAAAAGCUAAUAAUGCCUUACAGCGAAAAGCAGAAUAUCCUUUACAUUAGGCACUUCGUGUGUGAUCACCUGGCAGCAUCAUGAGAAAAAACCAGCUCGUUUCAGAGCUGAACCCAAAGGCCACUAAUGUUCUGAAACGUUUUCCAGUGGGUGUGAAUUGGACCUGUAACAAGCUGCAGAAGCUGAGUGUAGAAUACAAGGGCAUCCUGAUGCUACUUAGAAAAGUCAUCUCAAACAUCUGCUGGGAGAAGAAAACAAGCCAAGAUGGAAGAUGUUGCAAAUGUUUCAAAAGCUCUGCAGCACUUAUUUAUGAGUUUGCCAGGCUCUUCUUUUCAAAGUUUAUUUCCUCAGGGGGAACAAUAGAGAUGUUCCUAAAGCAUUUAAUGGAAAAAAUUACAAAUAAAAAUUCUCAUAGGAAAGUGGCCGUAGAAACCACUGACCUAGGUUCCCAUCUUUUAUUUCUUCUGCUAAUGCAAUUUUGCCUUUCAAGCCCCCAAUUCAUGAUGCUCUGAGGAAAUAAAAGGGGAAGCUACAGCUGAGGAAGUACAUUCCUACAGUGCAGUAACAAGUGUGAUGCUAGUAAGAUGUAGAAAUACCUAAGCUUGCUUUAAACUAGCUAACUUGGUUAUCAGUAGCACUACCGUGGCAGGUCGGAGCUCAGCACAGCUUGGCCAGCCGUGUGUGUACUUUGACAUGAUCUUGCGGCUUGUGCUGAACUCCCUGCGCUGCAGCAGCUGGACUGCCACCAGUCUUGGACCCAGCGAAUUUAUAGCUCACUUGGAUGCUACACUGCAGCGAGGGCCUAACGGAAGAGCGAGCUCUGGGCUCUCUAAAAACUUGAAUAACUCUUCAGAGAUUCAGUACUUCCCCAAGUGCUUCUGUGAGCAGAGGCACAAAUAUUCUUUAUUCUUCGCUAAAUUGCUUUUCCCCUCUAAAAGUUCUGAUGCUUGUUGGUUAGUUUGGUGUGAUGGUUCUUCAAGGAAUGACUGCCCAUCACAGUUAUUUUGGAUGAUACAAAUAUAGGUGUUGAGUGGGUGGAUAUACUACACCCAAGUCAGUGAGUUUGUACCUGAAAAUCCUAUUACGUAUAAUCCUUAUUCCUUUGAUUUUAGGAGAAAUAUGAAGUCGUACUUGUGUCCAGUUUGUCCAGUAUGGAACUCCAUACCUAUCUUUUUUCUCUAUAGCAUGAUAAAACAUUAACAUGGAUCCAGUUUGGACCUGGAUCUAAUCUUUGCAGCCCAUGUUCAUCUCACUUGCAUUAGUUUAAAAAAAGAACACAAAACAAAACAGAAGUACUGUCCCCAACCCCUUCACCAGCUGGUCUUUGACACUGCAAUUGCUCUCCUUUUCUUGCUGCAGAUUAAGUUACUACAAGAUCUGGGCCACAGAUAAGAAGGUUCUCAUUUUAAUUAGAAAAUAGUGAAAGACAGGACAUGGAUUUGUAUAUACAUAUAUAGUUACUGCUUUAAGCAUUGCAUCAAAGACGCAAAACCAGCAAGAAAUACAAGAGAGUUUUAUAUCCUCAUUCCAAACGUUUAAAUUUUCAGUCUCUGGUUACUGGCUAAUAUCUCUAAUUUAUUGUUCCCUGUGCAAAUGUUGUUUGUAUCAAAAGCCUUUCACAAAUGACUGUCUUCACAGCACUCUUCUGUUGACAAAUAUUCAUUCUAGCAUCCCAUGAGUGUCCAUACAAAUGUGUUAGCGUAAGGAAUGUGAACAGGUAUUUUAAUAAAGAAAAUUCUGGAUUGAACUUUGCGCUGGAUCUUGCAUGUUCGUAGUAGUGACCACUUGCAAAUGAAUGCCUGUAAUAUUUUUUGUUAGCAAUGAACCAUAUAGAUGCAUUGUAUAAAUUUACAUAUGGAAGAUGUCAUCUCUGCAGCAAGGGAUUCCAGGCACUUAGAUCUGUUGUCAUCAUCCAGUUUAGCAGUGGGUAAAUGCACUAAAUUGGUUAAAGAGUUGAGCAUGGGAGUGCUUGCGUUCACGUAAGUCCUUUGCUAAAUGACAAAGAUAAAAGUUCCUCCACAAACCUCUCCGCGGUCCCUGGGACAACUCAGGAAAGCACUGGUUUCUGGGAAGUUUCAGAAUGUCAGCUGGGCAGUGGGACAAUUCAUUGAUCUAUUUCAGCUUGUCUCUUGUCUGGAAUAAUCCUAAACUAUUUUUGAUUUAGUCUGUAUUAAAAGUUGUUUGCCAUAAUGAAACAUAUCUGAACUAUC